AUUCGAUCAAAACAGGACCAUUGCAAAUUUAUCAUAAAACAUUUUACGACACAACACUUGAUUUUAUAAUGCGUACACAACAUUAUCAACAUGAUGUUAUUUAAAGUAUUUACAUUAUUGAUGUACGCAUUUUUGUGUCUUACAGCUCCACAACAAACAGAUAUAAAUAAUCAACUAGAUACAACAACAAAAGCAGAAAAUGUAUCAGAUACAAGUUUAAAAACCGUGAACAUUUCCGAAGAAAAUGAAAUUCCCGAUGUAAUAGUAACAACAGAAGUAAACGCUGCAAAAGAACUGAAACAUGAUGUAUUUUAUAAUCUACAAAGGCUUAUAAUGCGGCCAAUUGAAAUAUUAUUACGAGAGCCUAAGGUUAACAUGGUGCUUAGAAAUAUUGGCACUUGUAUCGUAAAUGGGGCUAUGGAAAUUUUAUCAUAUUAUGUCCCUACUCCAUUUAUGCCAUUGAUAGCGACCGCUGCAGGUGCACUUAUUCCGUUUGAACCAGUUGUUACAUUGAGACGAAGAAUGCCGGUGACCAGUUAUAGAAGGGCUUUCAAAACUGCUGUGAAUAGUUUUCUAAAUACUUUUGACGAGUAUAAAGUUGACAAUGAUGACGAAGAUCCAUACAUGACAAGAAGAUUUAACAGACGAUUUUUGAAUGAAAUUCCAAAUGAAAAAAUUAAAUCCAUUUAAUUCGUAA